rnacentral:rRNA from 1 species
UACGUAGGGGGCAAGCGUUGUCCGGAAUCAUUGGGCGUAAAGCGCACGUAGGCGGCUUUGCAAGUUAGAGGUGAAAGCCCGGGGCUCAACUCCGGAAUUGCCUUUAAAACUGCAUCGCUAGAAUUGUGGAGAGGUAAGUGGAAUUCCGAGUGUAGAGGUGAAAUUCGUAGAUAUUCGGAAGAACACCAGUGGCGAAGGCGACUUACUGGACACAUAUUGACGCUGAGGUGCGAAAGCGUGGGGAGCAAACAGG